UGCUCAAUGAUUAAGCCAUGGCAAUAUACGCUAUUCUGAAUCAUAUUAAGAUGUCAUAAACAUUAUGAGAGCA
rfam:Oryza glaberrima chromosome 5 Oglab05_0032_2, whole genome shotgun sequence.